rnacentral:rRNA from 1 species
UACGGGGGGAGCAAGCGUUGUUCGGAUUUACUGGGCGUAAAGCGCGCGUAGGUGGUUCAGCAAGUUGAAGGUGAAAUCCCCGGGCUCAACCUGGGAACUGCCUCCAAAACUACUGAGCUAGAGUACGGUAGAGGGUAGUGGAAUUUCCUGUGUAGCGGUGAAAUGCGUAGAUAUAGGAAGGAACACCAGUGGCGAAGGCGACUACCUGGACUGAUACUGACACUGAGGUGCGAAAGCGUGGGGAGCAAACAGG